UAAGGUUUUCAAUGUUUAGCUUAUGUCUCCCUCGUGACAAAUAUGGCAAACCUUUGCACAAAGAAUUUUUAAAUCGACGCUAACUACAAACUGUACAAGCAAACAUUGCUAAAUGUAAAAUACUUAAUAUUUCAACUUCCCAUUUAUCUUAACAUUGAAAUAAUAAUUAACUAUAACCGAUACAAAUGUCGAGAAAAUCAUAGAUAAACAGUACGAGGUCCAAACUGAUAUGCCACAAGUGCCACAUAGAACAAUCGUAUCAAACUAUUUCAGAAUAUUCUAAAUGUUAAAAUCUUACAUUUCACCUCGAAUAACGUUAAUUAGAAGUGCAAGACAUUUCAAAAUUAGCUACAACACAAUUACCCUACAUAACCAUCAAAAACCGUGUUGAACACAAAACAAAUUCAGAGAUCGUAUCUUAACAAUCCCCUGUUAAUCGCAACACUUGGACCAAAGCCGAAGAAGUUCCAGCGUUAACGCGAACCGUGUCCCCGGUGGCUGUGUUUGUAGCUCCCGUCGUUCUACGUGGAUGAUACCCAGCAGGACAGUUUUUAAUCACCGUUGCCCAGAACGUUAAUGGAGUUGUAAUUCAUACGGAAUGACAUGUGACUCAGAAACAGCGGAACGUGUCGCCACGCGACACACUGCACCCCUCACUGGGUGUCAUCAAUGGAUGCAGCAUCGGAACAGAAGAGGGUGAACAAGCCUGGUGGACCAACAAUCAAGGGACGCUCGUUGCUCUUACGCGGUCGUAAGGGACUGAAUUCAAUUGAAAGAAGUGGAACACGAUCUGGAUACGAGAUUAAUUCAAUAGCGGGGUCAUCAAGGCCUGGCCGUCUGGUGGAAUGCAGCUUUACGAGGGAUCUGGUUAGCCUCAGUCUACGGGAGACAGUGUAGCAUAGGAGGGUGAAAAGAAACAUGUCUGACAAGAGGUUACGCAGCAUAGAAUAAGAAGAUUGAAACUUUCUAUAAAGAUAAAAUUUAAGAAGAUUGAAAGUUGAGUAAUUUAGUGUAAAUAUAUGAGAUGACACCUGGAUAGCCACGAAUUAGGGAAGAUUCGAACCGACUGAGGGCUGCCCUUCGUCAUGGCAAACCUCCUUGGAAAUGGCGGUCGGCCCGUGGCGCCGCAAACUACUAGAAAAUUGAUAGUAACUUCGUGCUGAAUUACCAUAUACCUCGCAUAAUAUCUACCCCUAUGAUGUAUCCUUCAACAAAUAUUCAUUGACCUUCUUACAAUAAUAAAUUACAACUUAAACGUUCUUUAACGCUUUAAAACGUUGUAUCACGUUCAUAAAUUAUACCAAGAACAAUACCUGAUAGAAUGAAAUAGUACCAAAACACGAAAUAAAUAAAAUUAACGUUCGAGCUGUUAUGGUGAUGUAAUAUUCAACGAUUAGUGUAUAUAUUUAGAGGAGUUUCGUUCAUACGGAUAGUAGAUUAUGGUCGAAGCGUGUGUCGUUCGAAGUCGUAAUAAAUUUAAUCUUAGCAGAGCUGUUCCAAGUACAAUGUGGCACCGGCAUCGUUUCACGGGGCAUUAACCUCUGUCUCUGAUUGGCGAUCAUGAUUAUUAUUACAGAAGAUCAGGAUCAGGAAGGUACGUCCUGAUAGUGUGUCCCGUUUGUCGACGCCAGUGUCACGUUUGAGAUGAACAUAACCUUGCUUCUGAUCUUUAUAGACGUUUACGACAACAAUCUUUAUCUUUGUAAUGAAACUUUUUUAUUUUGAUUUGAUGGUUGUGAAAUUUGA